rnacentral:rRNA from 1 species
CGAGUGUAGGCGGUUUGGUAAGUCGGAUGUGAAAGCCCCGGGCUCAACCCGGGAAGUGCACUCGAUACUGCCAAGCUAGAGUAUCGGAGAGGUUGGUGGAAUUCUCGGUGUAGAGGUGAAAUUCGUAGAUAUCGAGAGGAACACCGGUGGCGAAGGCGGCCAACUGGACGAAUACUGACGCUGAGACUCGAAAGCGUGGGGAGCAAACAGGAUUAGAUACCCUGGUAGUCCACGCCGUAAACGAUGGGUGCUAGGUGUCGCGGGCUUUGACUCCUGCGGUGCCGUAGCUAACGCAUUAAGCACCCCGCCUGGGAAGUACGGCCGCAAGGCUAAAACUCAAAGGAAUUGA